rnacentral:rRNA from 1 species
CCUACGGGAGGCAGCAGUGGGGAAUAUUGGACAAUGGGCGAAAGCCUGAUCCAGCCAUGCCGCGUGUGUGAAGAAGGCCUUCGGGUUGUAAAGCACUUUCAGUGGGGAAGAAAGCCUUGGGGCUAAUACCCUCGAGGAAGGACAUCACCCACAGAAGAAGCACCGGCUAACUCCGUGCCAGCAGCCGCGGUAAUACGGAGGGUGCGAGCGUUAAUCGGAAUUACUGGGCGUAAAGCGCGCGUAGGCGGUCUGAUAAGCCGGUUGUGAAAGCCCCGGGCUCAACCUGGGAACGGCAUCCGGAACUGUCAGGCUAGAGUGCAGGAGAGGAAGGUAGAAUUCCCGGUGUAGCAGUGAAAUGCGUAGAGAUCGGGAGGAAUAUCAGUGGCGAAGGCGGCCUUCUGGACUGACACUGACGCUGAGGUGCGAAAGCGUGGGUAGCAAACAGGAUUAGAUACCCUUGUAGUC